rnacentral:tRNA from 1 species
GCGGGCGUAGCUCAAUGGCUAGAGUCUCUGCCUUCCAAGCAGACUGUUAUGGGUUCGAGUCCCAUCGCCCGCUCCA